rnacentral:misc_RNA from 1 species
GAUGAAGAACGCAGUGAAAUGCGAUACUUGGUGUGAAUUGCAGAAUCCCGUGAACCAUCGAGUCUUUGAACGCAAGUUGCGCCCGAAGCCAUUAGGCCGAGGGCACGCCUGCCUGGGCGUCACACGUCGUUGCCCCCCCAUCUACUCCUUCGGGAUUGCGGGGGGCGGAUGAUGGCCUCCCGUGCGCCUCGCCGCGCGGUUGGCAUAAAUGCCAAGUCCUCGGCGACGCACGCCACGACAAUCGGUGGUUGCGAAACCUCGGUUGCCCGUCGUGUGCGGUCGUCGCGCAUCGAGGGCUCGAAAAAAUUGCCGGGUUCCGGCUCGGCUUUCAACGCGACCCCAGGUCAGGCGGGGUUACCCGCUGAAUUUAAGCAUAUCAAUAAGCGGAGGAA